GACGAACGCUGGCGGCGUGCCUAAUACAUGCAAGUAGAACGCACAGGAUGCACCGUAGUUUACUACACCGUAUUCUGUGAGUUGCGAACGGGUGAGUAACGCGUAGGUAACCUGCCUGGUAGCGGGGGAUAACUAUUGGAAACGAUAGCUAGUACCGUAUAAGAACAUUUACUGCAUGGUAGAUGUUUAAAAGGUGCAAGAGCAUCACUACCAGAUGGACCUGCGUUGUAUUAGCUAGUUGGUGAGGUAACGGCUCACCAAGGCAACGAUACAUAGCCGACCUGAGAGGGUGAUCGGCCACACUGGGACUGAGACACGGCCCAGACUCCUACGGGAGGCAGCAGUAGGGAAUCUUCGGCAAUGGGGGGAACCCUGACCGAGCAACGCCGCGUGAGUGAAGAAGGUUUUCGGAUCGUAAAGCUCUGUUGUUAAGGAAGAACGUGUGUGAGAGUGGAAAGUUCACACAGUGACGGUACUUAACCAGAAAGGGACGGCUAACUACGUGCCAGCAGCCGCGGUAAUACGUAUGUCCCGAGCGUUGUCCGGAUUUAUUGGGCGUAAAGCGAGCUCAGGCGUUUAGAUAAGUCUGAAGUGAAAGGCUGUGGCUCAACCAUUGUAGGCUUUGGAAAUCUGUUUAACUUGAGUGCAGAAGGGAGAGUGGAAUUUCCAUGUGUAUCGGUUGAAAUGCGUAGAUUGUAUGGAGGAACACCGGUGUGCGAAAGCGUUCGCUUGUUCUGCUACUGACUCUGACGCUCGUGUUCUGUGUGUGAUGAACAUGAUUAUAUCCUUGGGUUUUCCUGUUGUGAUUCUUUGUGGAUUUCUAGCUGUGUGCUACUGUGUGUCCUCUGGUGUGUGUAGUAACAAUUAUGUGUUGUAUUUUCUGGUGUCUGCUUUUUUUUUCUUUGCCCUGUGCUGUUACAAAAUGCAUGUGUGUGCUGAUUGUCUAUGACCACGAGAUGCUCUAC
rnacentral:rRNA from 1 species